CAUCCGCGUCAUUGUGAGUCCCACAAGAGGCAAAGGUGUAGAAUGUGAAGACUGUGAUCCACUUCCUCUAAACGGGGAUGAGCCAAGAAGAGUAAUGGCGUCCUUAGCCAUACCUUCAUCCAUGCCACCGACCAAAUCAUCGCCUUUACCACCAUUAAUGGCUACUGCAAGUCCCAAGCAUUGGUCCUCAGCUUCAGCUUCAACUUCCAGAAGGAGAAAACUCAAUCCUCUCAGAAUUUCAGCUUUAAGUCUCCCCGAUUCGUCUCCUCUGCUAAAAGCAGCUCACCACACUGUGGACACGUUCAUUAAAAGUGGCAUGGUCGUUGGGUUGGGCUCUGGUCAAGCUUCUACAAUGGCAAUUCAGUACCUGGGUCAGCAACUUCGUACAGGUGCUUUCAAAGACAUUGUGGGAGUACCCAUGUCUGUUGUGAGUGCUAAUGAAGCCGCCAAGGAAGAAAUACCAUUGCACGACUUCCAAGAUAAUUCUCGAAUUGAUUUUGCAUUUGAUGAUGCUGAUGUUAUAGAAGAAGGCACUCUUACAGCUAUUAUUGGGAGACGGAGUUCGCAAGGUGAUGAGUCCCUUUUCCAAGAGAAGAGUAUACUAAAUGCAGCUGAAAAUCUGGUGUUCAUGAUAUCAAAGAACCAGUACAAAGGUGGUUUGGAGGGUUCCAUCCCAGUUUUGGUUAAUUCUCUCAACUGGUUGGAACCUGCUGAAGAAAUUGAUGACUUGUUUUUGGGUGAUGCAGAGGUAUGGCGGAGACCAUCUAUAGGAUAUGCAGAUCCACUAGGGGGUGACUUCCCAUUUGUCACCAGAGAAGGCCAUAAUGUUCUUGAUGUCAUUUUCACAUCUCCAAUACUAAGCCUUGAGAAAGUUGCAGAAAGCCUUGAUAAAAUUGAUGGGGUUGUUGAUCAUGGUGUCAUUUCUAAGUUCCCUGUCCUGGAUCACAUCGUCUCACAAAAAUUAUGUACUGUAGUAAUUGCAUCAGAAAGUGGCUUGUACAUUGUUGAUAAUGUCUCAAAGAAUCCAGUAAAGGGAACCUGAUUGCUACAGCCAACAAGACAAUCUUAUGUGGUUCCUGUUGUCAUUUCCAAACAUAAUCUUAAUGUAAAGGCAAGGGUAAGCUGGAUCAACCCUGACUUGGAGAGCUCUAGAGGCGGAAUGUACAUAGUCAGCUGUUCGGCCGCCACAACCGAGGGUUGGACAGGGAUAGGAAUACCUGAAAUGUCUAUUUUGCCCUUAGAGUGGCUAGUAGGUUUAUAUAACCCUGAAUUUUUGUAAACUGUCCUUUAAACUCUAUUUCUCUCUGGAUCGCGUGUA